GUAGGGAAUAUUGGGCAAUGGUCGGAAGACUGACCCAGCCAUGCCGCGUGCAGGAAGACGGCCCUCUGGGUUGUAAACUGCUUUUAUCUGGGAAGAAAAAGGCCAUGCGUGGCAAAUUGCCGGUACCAGAUGAAUAUGCACCGGCUAACUCCGUGCCAGCAGCCGCGGUAAUACGGAGGGUGCGAGCGUUGUCCGGAUGUAUUGGGUUUAAAGGGUGCGUAGGCGGCUGAUUAAGUCAGCGGUGAAAGACUUCGGCUUAACCGGAGCAGUGCCGGUGAUACUGGUUGGCUUGAGUGUCGGAGGGGUACAUGGAAUUGAUGGUGUAGCGGUGAAAUGCAUAGAUACCAUCAGGAACACCGAUAGCGAAGGCAUUGUACUGGCCGACAACUGACGCUGAUGCACGAAAGUGUGGGGAUCGAACAGGAUUAGAAACCCCGGUAGUCC
rnacentral:rRNA from 1 species